AAACUUUCAACAACGGAUCUCUUGGUUCCGGCAUCGAUGAAGAACGCAGCGAAAUGCGAUAAGUAAUGCGAAUUGCAGAAUUCCGUGAGUCAUCGAAUCUUUGAACGCAUAUUGCGCCCUCUGGUAUUCCGGAGGGCAUGCCUGUCCGAGCGUCAUUG
rnacentral:rRNA from 1 species